rnacentral:rRNA from 1 species
ACCUACGGGAGGCAGCAGUGGGGAAUAUUGCACAAUGGGGGAAACCCUGAUGCAGCGACGCCGCGUGAGUGAAGAAGUAUUUCGGUAUGUAAAGCCCUAUCAGCAGGGAAGAUAAUGACGGUACCUGACUAAGAAGCCCCGGCUAACUACGUGCUAGCAGCCGCGGUAAUACGUAGGGGGCAAGCGUUAUCCGGAUUUACUGGGUGUAAAGGGAGCGGAGUUGGCAGGGC